rnacentral:rRNA from 1 species
GAUGAACGCUGGCGGCGUGCCUAAUACAUGCAAGUAGAACGCUGAAGGAAGGAGCUUGCUCUUUCCGGAUGAGUUGCGAACGGGUGAGUAACGCGUAGGUAACCCGCCUGGUAGCGGGGGAUAACUAUUGGAAACGAUAGCUAAUACCGCAUAACAGUAGAUGUUGCAUGAUAUCUACUUAAAAGGUGCAAUUGCACCACUACCAGAUGGACCUGCGUUGUAUUAGCUAGUUGGUGAGGUAACGGCUCACCAAGGCGACGAUACAUAGCCGACCUGAGAGGGUGAUCGGCCACACUGGGACUGAGACACGGCCCAGACUCCUACGGGAGGCAGCAGUAGGGAAUCUUCGGCAAUGGACGGAAGUCUGACCGAGCAACGCCGCGUGAGUGAAGAAGGUUUUCGGAUCGUAAAGCUCGGUUGUAAGAGAAGAACGAGUGUGAGAGUGGAAAGUUCACACUGUGACGGUAUCUUACCAGAAAGGGACGGCUAACUACGUG